AUUGAACGCUGGCGGCAGGCUUAACACAUGCAAGUCGAGCGAGCGGCGGACGGGUGAGUAAUGUAUGGGAAUCUGCCUGAUGGAGGGGGAUAACUACUGGAAACGGUAGCUAAUACCGCAUACCAUCAGAGUUGCCCAGAUGGGAUUAGCUGGUAGGUGGGGUAACGGCUCACCUAGGCGACGAUCCCUAGCUGGGCUGAGAGGAUGACCAGCCAAACUGGAACUGAGACACGGCCCAGACUCCUACGGGAGGCAGCAGUGGGGAAUAUUGCACAAUGGGUGCAAGCCUGAUGCAGCCAUGCCGCGUGUGUGAAGAAGGCCUUCGGGUUGUAAAGUACUUUCAGUCGGGAGGCGUUACUGACAGAAGAAGCACCGGCUAACUCCGUGCCAGCAGCCGCGGUAAUUC
rnacentral:rRNA from 1 species